CUUCGACUUAGUCACCCUGCCAGCCAAACACCAUUUUAGGCUCAAGAGGAAUUCAGAUAAAUCCAGAGACAAGAGGUUCUCCAGGAAGAUUGGGAUCCCAGGGGUUGAACUGAAAAUGGUGAAAGUCACUACAACUGAAAAACGCAUCAGGGCAGCAAAGAACCAUCUUCCCAAACAAACCACAUGGAAUAAAGUGUCACUCACCAAUAGGUCUUUACACUCAGGACUGCACAUACGGUUCCAGAAGAUAUCUCCCACUGCAUUAUUGAUCUGAAAAUACAGCACUUCUACCAUAUAGACCAUAACUAUACAGGUCAUAACCAAUUUCUCCCUAAUCACCAUUUCCAAGCAACACAGAAGCCUUCUAUCUGUAAAUGUGGUUCUAAA